rfam:Stegodyphus mimosarum contig23573, whole genome shotgun sequence.
UAAAGUGAUAUGAUAAUUAUUACUUAAAUCUUAAUCGGAGGUAAUAGUUGGAUGACUGCUAUA